rnacentral:rRNA from 1 species
AUUGAACGCUGGCGGCAUGCUUUACACAUGCAAGUCGAACGGUAACAGGGAGCUUGCUCCGCUGACGAGUGGCGAACGGGUGAGUAAUGCAUCGGAACGUACCGUGUAAUGGGGGAUAACGUAGCGAAAGUUACGCUAAUACCGCAUACGCCCUGAGGGGGAAAGUGGGGGACCGCAAGGCCUCACGUUAUACGAGCGGCCGAUGUCGGAUUAGCUAGUUGGUGGGGUAAAGGCCUACCAAGGCGACGAUCCGUAGCGGGUCUGAGAGGAUGAUCCGCCACACUGGGACUGAGACACGGCCCAGACUCCUACGGGAGGCAGCAGUGGGGAAUUUUGGACAAUGGGCGCAAGCCUGAUCCAGCCAUGCCGCGUGAGUGAAGAAGGCCUUCGGGUUGUAAAGCUCUUUCAGGUGGAAAGAAAUCGCACUUUUUAAUACAAGGUGUGGAUGAC